UCGCCCUCGGACUUGGACUCUGGGG
rnacentral:piRNA from 1 species